AUAUUGGCUUAUUUGUCCCAGUGACAUUUUUGAUUAAAAUGAAGCCCAAUUUUUGAAAGAAAACUCUUCUGUGGAAAAUGUUUAUUAAUACCAACUUGUUUUUUCUCUUGCUGAAUGUUGCUUAAAAUGUAUCAUUCUCCGAUUUCAGCCAUGAGGAUUAAGCAGAAAUAGUUCAUGGACCUCUGGACCUCGUGCGGUUGGGGAGGCUGCAGAUGCUGGCUCUGCCACCUUCACAGCAGCCCUCUGGAAAGUCCUGGAGAGGGCAGAGAGAAACUUUUGCAAUGAGCUGCCCAGGACUCUGAAAGCCUCUGGGGUCCUCUUCGCCUCUGUUGAGGAACUUUUAUCUGAAGAUCACAGGUGGGGAUCCCACCUCACCUUAGGAUGCUCCGAGUCUGGCGAUAGCUGAAGACAUGAAAAGAGAGAUGGAAAGUGAUGGUGAUGGUUUCCUGAAAUCCAGAUCAAGUCUCUUAGGAAAGAUCACAGUCUCCUUCACCUAUAGCAUCCUGAUCUGUAUCCUGCUCAGUACAAUACACAGUGUCUGGAAUCAGUGCCAGAAGCAGAUCUUCAGCCAUCUCUAAAGGUCCAACCUCCUACCAGUGCUGAGAGCUGUUCAGGCAGUCUGUGCUCAGCAAAUGGAUCAGGUAUGACUGCAAACACCACGCACCUGACAACGUUUCGUACUUCCAUCUCAUUUUUCAUUCAUGAUUUCCAGUGCUUCUAGAGAAAUAUUAGCAGUUAGAAAAGCCGUGCAAUAUUUCUGGGACACAACAGGGUAUUGUACUAAGGGCCACCAUGUCAUAGGUGACUUUGAUUCUCUUUUUAAGGUUUAUCUCCUAAAAGUCUUUCUGAAGAAUGAAAAAUAAAAAUGUCAUCUUGUAACAUGGAUUAAUGUAAGUAAAGAAGGAUCUCUUUUGGUUCUCCUCUGUGAUUUUCUUUCCUGAGUCCAGAUUUUCUUUGUCAGCCCCCAUUACUGGCACAGAACAACUCUGGACUCUGAGCACCAUUUGUAGCAUUCAAGGA